rnacentral:rRNA from 1 species
CCGUUGGGAGGGAAACGAAUGCGGCUGAAGUGGCUCCCCGUCAGGCUCAGGAGACGUCGGAGGGUCCCGCGGACGGUGGCUUGCUCGCCGCCGACCGCCGGGUGCUCUGCGACGCGUCUGCACUUCUGCGGGGAGCCGGCCAACGGCAGUUGUUUUUUUCCGGCCCAGGAGGGCAGUGCGGGAAGGUAGCCUCGCGCUUGCGUGGGGAACUUACAGCCCGCUGCCAGGGUCGUUCCGGAAACGACUGAGGAGAGUUGCGAGUUUUCGCACGUGCGACGCAGGCCGUCCCCCCCGGGGGGUGGCUGGACCGCUCCUGUCGGGCUACCCGCCGCGGUGGUCACUGCGUGCAGUGGCCGUCGACGGUUAGGGGAGUCGGGCGGGAUGUCGGUGACACCUUGCGUCGUGGUCGUUGGUGCCCGAAUGGCCGCAUCCGACCCGUCUUGAAACACGGACCAAGGAGUGCAACAUGCGCGCGAGUCUCCGGGUGACAAACCCCUCGGCGCAAUGAAAGUGAAGGCAGGACUUGCGCCUGCUGUGGCGAGAGCCCCCGUUUUCCCGAUGGGGGCGCAUCGUCGACCGAUCCCAGGCUACGCUGUGGCGGGAUUUGAGUGAGAGCGUGCCUGUUGCGACCCGAAAGAUGGUGAACUAUGCCUGAA